ensembl:lncRNA
CUUCCUUAUUUUGUAGAAAGUAAAGUCAAUUCACCAUAGGAGUUGCAUAAAAUUCUUUUAUUGAGUAAAUCAAGUGUGUACACUUCAAUGAAUAGACAAUUUCCAUUAACAUACUAAGUAUGUUUAUAAUAUCUAGGAUUCUGUCUUGCCAGAACUCUAAAAACUGGCUGCUGUAAGCAUAAAGCAUUAAUCUUCCAAGUUGAUCAGCAGUUAAGGGUCUCUGUAUCCCACAGCAGAGCACAUCUGGAUGAAGCCCUACCAGAACAAUGGUGGUACUGCACUGUAAUUACAUGAAAGGAUUAUCUACUUCUCAACAUACAACCCCACAGCAGAUGUGCAGUCAUUCACUUUGAAAAUGCUCCUGUAGGACUGCAAGUAUUCCAUGACAGAGCAUGACUUUUUGGGAGAACCUAUUCCUGCCUGCAGGAACCCACCAGCUUUCAGUCUGGCUUGAGAUCGAUGGUGAAGUGCACACAGGGCACCAGGAAAACCUCAUUCUGCAACAAAUACACCUUGGGAGAGAUCAUCACGUAUCCUGCUUUUUAGCUACAGAAGAAAAGCAGUUUUAUUGAUGGUACAUUACUCUGGUAGGUACUUACUAUCUUUUUUAUUAUUCUGUUUAAUAAUAGAAAGGUAUAGAAGUAAAAGAAUCAAAAAUCCUAGCCCAAGCUGUCUCUUGAAGGCGUUGUGUGACAUUCAUACAAAGCCUAGCCCAGCAGUGCUGUGCUUCACACCAGUUCUGCAGGUAAUGGUUAUUUCUAACAGCUUCUAAAAACAGUCUCACCUAAGUUGCAUUGUCCUUUCAAGGAAUGAGCUCUGCCAGGCUUCCCUGAUGUUACACAUUACGCAUUCCUGGCACACCUGGGCAGAGAAGCUUGAUGUACCGCAUGCCUGAUAAAUUAUACUCCUGGCACAGCCUCCCUCAUUUGGUAUCUUCUCAGCUGUGUGUGAAUCUGCUAUGGCAUACAUCCUUGCACCGAAGUCACCAUGCUGGUGAUAUCCUGCCUGAGUACAGCACAGCUGUUUGUGCCACCACCAGCACGCUCAGUGCUUUAGCAGUACAGACUUCAUGAUUUUUUGUGUUUUAAGAAAUAUGCAUUUGUUUUCCUUAUCAACUGCUGUGUUCAAAGUAGUUUUUUCCAGUCACCACAUUGCCUGUAUUUAAAAAUCUGCAAAGCAGUAGAAGUGAAGCAAAUGGCACUGUAAUUGUGCAGCUAUCGUGGAGCAUCGAAUGAAGCUGCCCGAGUUCACUGCCAAUAUUUCCUCCAUUGAUCUGGCCACUGCAGCCCGGGGCUGAGGGCCCAGCCUGUGCACAGUGCACAGCUGUAACCACACGGUGGAGCUCUAGCAUUCACAUUGCAAGCACUAACACCAACUUCUGAUGCUUCUGCCCCAGAAUUUCAGUAGCGUCACCUGCACUGGAGCUGUACUUGGACUCCCACUGCCACUUUUGGUGAGGGAAUUUCUGCCACCUCCUCCAGCCCCCUGUGAAGACCCCACACACCCACCUUCCACAGUGAGUACGUGCAGACCUGCAAACUUGCUUUUUUUUUUGACUGGGGGUGUUGGGGGAUUGCAGGCACAACACUGUGAUUGAUGCAAACUUAAUUAUCCUCCACGUUGCUUCCCCUCGGCUGCCCCUAUACUGCUGUCACACACUACGUCCAUAUCUCAUCACUCCUUCCAGAAGAGUCUAAGAUCACGUAAUUACUGAAACAAAAGCUUUAGUCAGUGUGAGUUAAGAACUCUUUCUAUUCUCAAUUCAGUUUUGGAUUGUACUUUCCUUUAAUACUGUGCUCAUCUUGAUGGAGCCUCAUUCCUACUGAGCAUCCAAGAGAAGUGACAAAGUAGAACCUAAAGAGGCGCUGCCUUUCUGAAGAGUGCUUCCCAUGAGUUUCCUGAGCUACUGUAUGUAUUUGAAACCUCUGAAACAGUUCUAAACUGUAUAGGGAAAAAAACUGCUGGCGUUUACACGUUCUCAUUUAGUAGCACACAGUACACCACCAGCAUUCUUAAUCAGUCUGUAACCUGUGAAACAGAAGGAAAAAUAGCUCAAGCCACCCUUACAGCGUGGAAGGGACAAAAUGUGACUUUGUGAAAGUAAUCAAAGUCCCAUUUUGUUUCAGUGUGACCCUAAAAGAUGGAUGUUUUAUCCUCCCACUUGAUUUUGUCAAUUUUGCAGCACAGAAUUAAUAACCCGAAGCUGAAAGGGUGUUUGUAGAAGCAACACUUCUUAUCCUAACUGUGCUUUACUGACAUCUGUUGUUACGUGGUGUGGAGAUAAACAGAUGCAUCAAUUUGAGGUAUAUAAUGCUGCAGUACAUCCUUCAACAAAAAGACCAUUUGGCAACCAUUUGUAAACAGCUUGUUACCAAAGACUAUUUCACUCUCAUGUUUAAAUUCAACUUUAAAAAUCUCAGUGGAUAAAAUUAAGUACAGCAGAAAAGAUGAAGCUUUAAGGUUAAAACAAACAAAAAUCGUGUGUGAUGGUUAGGACUAAACCAGAUGAGUUUCUUUUUUUCCUUUGUGCCAAACAAAUUCACCUACAGUGAAAAUAGGCCCCAUGCAAGAAAGCAAACAUGCUUUAAUUAGAACAUAAGAUGUGGUGAUGAAGGCCAGAAGCCUUUCUAAGAGUCAUCUGCUUAAGCCCAAAACCUUAAAACUUAGUAUUAUUAGUAUUUAUUUGGUAUGUAUGUAUCUAAUUUUUAGUAUUUAUUUGGACACUGUAGUCAAUUUAGCAGCAAUACAUUGGAGUAAGUGUAAAAGUGCGCGCCAUACAAAUCACAGAUAGGCUUUAACUCCAAAUAUGAGCAGCACCGAAAUGCAUGCAGCUGGCAGGGCUGAGUGUCCACUACAUUAAUACCUCUGAGUGUCAUCAGCGAUGCCUUUAUCUCGUGUCUCUGCCAGAAAUGCCAAGCUUUUUCCAAAAACCUACAUCCCACUUACAUGUAAUUGCUUUAAGAUAAAGCAGCCUGGUUUCGACUAAUUAUAACGUGAAAUAUUACUGGUUUGUUCCAUUUGCAGUUAUUAUGUUUGAUUUUCAUUUAUUUUUCUGACCACGUCGUUACAGAAGGAAUAUAAAUCUCCAGAAACACGGCUUGAAAGAAAUUAGGAGUCACUACUGCCCACUCAUGCAUGGAAUGAAGCACAUCUCCUGCAGAAAAGUAAAGUAUGUGAUCAUGAUUAAUAAUUUUGAACGUGAGCAAAGAAUGACAGGAAUGCAAAUUGGAGCAACUUCCUCUGCAUGUACUCAGUUUUCACGUUAAUAUUAAACUAUCUGCAUCUAAGUGAGCAUUCAUUCUUUAGUUCUCAAAGCAAACUACACAGAUGAAUGCUACGUAUUCUAUUCUAAAUUUAACCCCUUCUCUGCUAUUCAAAACUAAGCCCUAUUGAUGCAUUUCAGUUACUUAUCGUUUAGAAAUUGCCUCUUGUUAUGCCCAUAAACCCAACACUGCUCCAGUGAGAUUCCUGGUGUUGUUUUUUAAACUGUUUGGUGUUUGAUAGAAACCAAAAAAAAGGAGGAAAAAGAAGACGACCAUGCAGAGUGUCAAAAUCAGUGCAUAAUUAAGUGCUGAAGAGCAGAAGCCAGGGUUUCUUAUUUCCUACUGCAUGACUACAACAGAGCAAAACACCUGCACUAUUUCACUUAACAAAGCAGAAUGGAAAGAAAAGUCUCCUGAGGCUUCUAAGCUUUUACAAAUACUUUAUGGGUGCGUAUACCUGCACGCAAAGACUCACAGAUCUGUGUAAAUGAUGUUGGGAGUAUACUGAAAAUGCAACAGAAAACUGUGUAAUGUGCAGUCUGAACUCAUCUUCUGCAGAUGUGAAUGCAAGAUUCUGUGACAUGACAGAAAAAUCAGGUUUUCAUCUUUCAGAUUCAGCGUACACUAAGGAUGUAGCAUACAGUAGGGUACAGAUCUGGCAGGAGACUGAGCAACAUGAGAUCACGGGAGCCUUUUAACUGCAAAUGAAAUGAUGCUUCCACUGCCAACAGAGGAAAAUACAGAAGGCAUUUAUCCAAAGGAAAGUGAAAAUAAGGAUACUGCUUGGUAGUAGUAAUAGACAAAGUAAUGGGAUGAUGUGUCUGUUUCCUUCUGCCAAGUCUCUGAUCUUAUGUAAAGCAAAUUCCUAGUAUGACCAUAUGCAUCACUUUUGCAUUUUAAGAUAUUUGGUGAACAGAUUUAUAAAAAUAUCAACCCCAAUACCGCUAAUUAAUAAGGUCCUUUUCACGAAGACAGCUACUAUAGGGCCAAAAAAAAGUUAUUAAACCUCCUCUUGAAAGCUGAGUACUGGAGAAAGGCUGCAGGGGUUGGAGCGGCAGCUGCAAUGAGCCCAGGGAGCUGCGGCUGUCCCACAGCAGUGCCACAUGGGGCAUGGGGCCCUGGGAGCUGCUCACCUACUUGGAGAGUGGGAUGGACACCCUACUCGUUAAAUAUUGCUAAGAAACAUUAUGGGUUCUGACAGACCCAUUUUCCCAGGUUCAGAUAUGCACUGGCAUUGACCCCACGCUGUCAGGUACCAUUCAGCAGGACCACUGUGUGUGUUUGAAGUGAGGCAGUUUCUCCACUACUGCUUUUGUUAUGCAGACAGCUGCCCGUUAACAGUGCGAUUAAAGAGAGGCACAAAAGAUGUGCAGAAGGCAGAUCUAUCAACGGGGCUGAACGUAACCUCCCGCACCGGGCUGAGUCCCCACUCCCAACCCAGCAGUGAGGCCCACUGGCCGGGCAGGGUGCCGCGUCUCCCCCCGGCCCGCGGCGCGGUUAGGCUCUGUAAGCCCACUACCAGCGCGGGGUCGGCCGCCGUUCCGCCCUGAC